UGCGUAGGUGGAUAUUUAAGUCAGGGGUGAAAUCCUGGAGCUCAACUCCAGAACUGCCUUUGAUACUGAGUAUCUUGAGUUCGGGAGAGGUAAGUGGAACUGCGAGUGUAGAGGUGAAAUUCGUAGAUAUUCGCAAGAACACCAGUGGCGAAGGCGGCUUACUGGCCCGAUACUGACACUGAGGCACGAAAGCGUGGGAGCAAACA
rnacentral:rRNA from 1 species